rnacentral:rRNA from 1 species
UACGUAGGUGGCAAGCGUUGUCCGGAGUUAUUGGGCGUAAAGCGCGCGCAGGCGGUGCGGUAAGUCUCUGGUGAAAGCGCUCGGCUUAACUGGGCGAGGGCCGGGGAGACUGCCACGCUGGAGGGGAGCAGAGGCGAGUGGAAUUCCGGGUGUAGUGGUGAAAUGCGUAGAGAUCCGGAGGAACACCAGUGGCGAAGGCGAGUCUCUGGACAUUUCCUGACGCUGAGGGCACGAAAGC